rnacentral:misc_RNA from 1 species
UCCGGUUUAACACCGGCGGUCUCUUUAGAGUGCCCAACUUAAUGGUGGCAACUAAAGACAGGGGUUGCGCUCGUUGCGGGACUUAACCCAACAUCCUACGACACGAGCUGACGACAGCCAUGCAGCACUUGUCAUCCUGUCCCCGAAGGGAAAGUCCUAUCUCUAGGAUUAUCAGGAGAUGUCAAGCCCAGGUAAGGUUCUGCGCGUUGCUUCGAAUUGAACCACAUACUCCACCGCUUGUGCGGGCCCCCGUCAAUUUCUUUGAGUUUCAGCCUUGCGGCCGUACUUCCCAGGCGGAAUACUUAAUGCGUUAGCUUUGAUACUCAGAGGGUUAACUCUCCGAACAUCUAGUAUUCAUCGUUUAUGGCGUGGACUAC